UGAGAACGCAGGCCUGCUAGACUUGGGCUUAUUUUCUGCUACCGAUCUGGAUAUAGGAGUUAAUGCACUUAUAAGCUAUUCUUUGCAAGAUGAUUUUGCUGGAAUGUUCCAUAUCAAUAGUUCCACUGGCAAGCUGAUGACAAAACAAUCCUUAGACAGAGAAAUGAUGGACAGUUAUGAGCUGAAAAUAAUAGCCACUGAUUCUGGCAAACCAUCACAAUCUGCAAGCUUAGUUCUAAGCAUCGCUGUAGAAGAUGUGAAUGACAACCCACCAGAGUUCCCCCAAAAAUCAUAUACCGUGGCUGUAAAAGAGAAUGAGCCUCCACAUGUGAUUCUGAGUGCAACAGCCAUGGAUAAAGACAUAGGGUACAAUGCUAUUAUUC
rnacentral:lncRNA from 1 species